rnacentral:tRNA from 1 species
GCCUGGGUGGCUCAGUCGGUUGAGCGUCUGACUUCGGCUCAGGUCAUGAUCUCACAGUCCGUGAGUUCGAGCCCCGCGUCAGGUU